rnacentral:rRNA from 1 species
AUUGAACGCUGGCGGCAGGCCUAACACAUGCAAGUCGAGCGAGCGGCGGACGGGUGAGUAAUGUCUGGGAAACUGCCUGCUGGAGGGGGAUAACUACUGGAAACGGUAGCUAAUACCGCAUACCAUCAGAUGUGCCCAGGUGGGAUUAGCUAGUAGGUGGGGUAACGGCCCACCUAGGCGACGGUCCCUAGCUGGUCUGAGAGAAUGACCAGCCACACUGUAACUGAGACACGGUCCAAACUCGUACGGGAGGCAGCAGGGGGGAAUAUUGCACAAUGGGCGCAAGCGUGAUGCAGCCAUGCGGCGUGUGUGAAGAAGGCCUUCGGGUUGUAAAGCACUUUCAGCGGGGAGGCGUUACCCGCAGAAGAAGCACCGGCUAACUCCGUGCCAGCAGCCGCGGUAAUAC